AGUNGAAUUUGAUCCUGGCUCAGGACGAACGCUGGCGGCGUGCUUAACACAUGCAAGUCGAACGGAAAGGUCUCNUCGGAGAUACUCGAGUGGCGAACGGGUGAGUAACACGUGGGUGAUCUGCCCUGCANUCGGGAUAAGCCUGGGAAACUGGGUCUAAUACCGGAUAGGACCACGGGAUGCAUGUCCUGUGGUGGAAAGCGNUUAGNGUGUGGGAUGAGCCCGCGGCNAUCAGCUGUUGUGGGUGANGCNACCAGGNANACGGUAGCNGCUAGAGUGANGGCCUUUUCAAAGGNNUUCAAA
rnacentral:rRNA from 1 species